rnacentral:rRNA from 1 species
UACGGAGGAUGCGAGCGUUAUCCGGAUUCAUUGGGUUUAAAGGGUGCGUAGGCGGCGUAUUAAGUCAGCGUAGAAAUGCCGGAGCUCAACUCCGGCGCUAGCGUAGAAACUGGUAUGCUUGAAUUCGAAUGAAGUCGGAGGAAUGUGUAGUGUAGCGGUGAAAUGCAUAGAUAUCACACAGAAGGCCGAUUGCGAAGGCAUCUGACUAAUUCGACAUUGACGCUGAAGCACGAAAGCGUGGGGAUCAAACAGGAUUAGAUACCCUGGUAGUCCACGCCGUAAACGAUGAUAACCGGCUGUUGGCUUAUAACGAUCAAGUCAGCGGCAAAGCGAAAGCGAUAAGUUAUCCACCUGGGGAGUACGACCGCAAGGUUGAAACUCAAAGGAAUUGACGGGGGCCCGCACAAGCGGAGGAACAUGUGGUUUAAUUCGAUGAUACGCGAGGAACCUUACCCGGGCUCGAACGGAAGAAUAUGAGGCAUUCGAAAGUUUGCCGCCAGCAAUGGAUUUUUCCGAGGUGCUGCAUGGUUGUCGUCAGCUCGUGCCGUGAGGUGUCGGCUUAAGUGCCAUAACGAGCGCAACCCUUGUUGUCUGUUGCCAUCGGGUCAAGCCGGGGACUCAGAUGAGACUGCCUGCGUAAGCAGUGAGGAAGGGGGGGAUGACGUCAAAUCAGCACGGCCCUUACGUCCGGGGCGACACACGUGUUACAAUGGAUAGGACAGAGGGUAGCUACCUGGCGACAGGAUGCCAAUCUCCAAAACUAUNCUCAGUNCGGAUCGGAGUCUGCAACNCCACNCCAUUAACCUGGAUUCNCUAAUANUCGCGCAUCANCCAGGGNGCGGUGAAUACGUUCCCGGGCCUU